rnacentral:rRNA from 1 species
UGGGGAAUAUUGGACAAUGGGGGGAACCCUGAUCCAGCAAUGCCGCGUGUGUGAAGAAGGCCUGCGGGUUGUAAAGCACUUUCAGUGGGGAGGAGGGUUGAUUGGUUAAGAGCUGAUUAACUGGACGUUACCCAGAGAAGAAGCACCGGCUAACUCCGUGCCAGCAGCCGCGGUAAUACGGAGGGUGCGAGCGUUAAUCGGAAUUACUGGGCGUAAAGGGUGCGUAGGUGGUUGAAUAAGUUAGCUGUGAAAUUCCUGGGCUUAACCUGGGAUGGUCAUCUAAAACUGUUUGACUUGAGUAUGGGAGAGGGUAGUGGAAUUUCCGGUGUAGCGGUGAAAUGCGUAGAGAUCGGAAGGAACACCAGUGGCGAAGGCGUCUACCUGGCCUAAUACUGACACUGAGGCACGAAAGCGUGGGGAGCAAACAGGAUUAGAUACCCCUGUAGUCC